AUUGAACGCUGGCGGCAGGCCUAACACAUGCAAGUCGAACGAGUGGCGGACGGGUGUGUAAUGUCUGGGAAACUGCCUGAUGGAGGGGGAUAACUACUGGAAACGGUAGCUAAUACCGCAUACAAUCGGCUGUGACCAGAUGGGAUUAGCUAGUAGGUGGGGUAACGGCUCAGCUAGGCGCCGAUGCCUAGCUGGUCUGUGAGGAUGACCAGCCACACUGGAACGGAGACACGGUCGAGGCUCCGACGGGAGGCAGCAGUGGGGAGUAUAUCACAAUGGGCGCAAGCCUGAUGCAGCCAGGCCGCUGCUAUGAAGAAGGCCUUCGGGUUGUAAAGUACUUUCAGCGGGGAGACGUUACCCGCAGAAGAAGCACCGGCUAACUCCGUGCCAGCAGCCGCGGUAAUAC
rnacentral:rRNA from 1 species